AACGAACGCUGGCGGCAUGCCUAACACAUGCAAGUCGAACGAGACCUUCGGGUCUAGUGGCGCACGGGUGCGUAACGCGUGGGAAUCUGCCCUUGGGUACGGAACAACAGUUAGAAAUGACUGCUAAUACCGUAUAAUGACUCCGGUCCAAAGAUUUAUCGCCCAAGGAUGAGCCCGCGUCGGAUUAGCUAGUUGGUGAGGUAAAAGCUCACCAAGGCGACGAUCCGUAGCUGGUCUGAGAGGAUGAUCAGCCACACUGGGACUGAGACACGGCCCAGACUCCUACGGGAGGCAGCAGUGGGGAAUAUUGGACAAUGGGCGAAAGCCUGAUCCAGCAAUGCCGCGUGAGUGAUGAAGGCCUUAGGGUUGUACAGCUCUUUUACCCGGGAUGAUAAUGACAGUACCGGGAGAAUAAGCCCCGGCUAACUCCGUGCCAGCCGCCGCAGUAACAC
rnacentral:rRNA from 1 species